UUAAGCGACUAAGCGUACACGGUGGAUGCCCUGGCAGUCAGAGGCGAUGAAGGACGUGCUAAUCUGCGAUAAGCGUCGGUAAGGUGAUAUGAACCGUUAUAACCGGCGAUUUCCGAAUGGGGAAACCCAGUGUGAUUCGUCACACUAUCAUUAACUGAAUCCAUAGGUUAAUGAGGCGAACCGGGGGAACUGAAACAUCUAAGUACCCGAGGAAAAGAAAUCAACCGAGAUUCCCCCAGUAGCGGCGAGCGAACGGGGAGCAGCCCAGAGCCUGAAUCAGUGUGUGUGUUAGUGGAAGCGUCUGGAAAGGCGUGCGAUACAGGGUGACAGCCCCGUACACAAAAAUGCACAUGCUGUGAGCUCGAUGAGUAGGGCGGGACACGUGGUAUCCUGUCUGAAUAUGGGGGACCAUCCUCCAAGGCUAAAUACUCCUGACUGACCGAUAGUGAACCAGUACCGUGAGGGAAAGGCGAAAAGAACCCCGGCGAGGGGAGUGAAAAAGAACCUGAAACCGUGUACGUACAAGCAGUGGGAGCACGCUUAGGCGUGUGACUGCGUACCUUUUGUAUAAUGGGUCAGCGACUUAUAUUCUGUAGCAAGGUUAACCGAAUAGGGGAGCCGAAGGGAAACCGAGUCUUAACUGGGCGUUAAGUUGCAGGGUAUAGACCCGAAACCCGGUGAUCUAGCCAUGGGCAGGUUGAAGGUUGGGUAACACUAACUGGAGGACCGAACCGACUAAUGUUGAAAAAUUAGCGGAUGACUUGUGGCUGGGGGUGAAAGGCCAAUCAAACCGGGAGAUAGCUGGUUCUCCCCGAAAGCUAUUUAGGUAGCGCCUCGUGAAUUCAUCUCCGGGGUAGAGCACUGUUUCGGCAAGGGGGUCAUCCCGACUUACCAACCCGAUGCAAACUGCGAAUACCGGAGAAUGUUAUCACGGGAGACACACGGCGGGUGCUAACGUCCGUCGUGAAGAGGGAAACAACCCAGACCGCCAGCUAAGGUCCCAAAGUCAUGGUUAAGUGGGAAACGAUGUGGGAAGGCCCAGACAGCCAGGAUGUUGGCUUAGAAGCAGCCAUCAUUUAAAGAAAGCGUAAUAGCUCACUGGUCGAGUCGGCCUGCGCGGAAGAUGUAACGGGGCUAAACCAUGCACCGAAGCUGCGGCAGCGACGCUGAUGCGUUGUUGGGUAGGGGAGCGUUCUGUAAGCCUGCGAAGGUGUGCUGUGAGGCAUGCUGGAGGUAUCAGAAGUGCGAAUGCUGACAUAAGUAACGAUAAAGCGGGUGAAAAGCCCGCUCGCCGGAAGACCAAGGGUUCCUGUCCAACGUUAAUCGGGGCAGGGUGAGUCGACCCCUAAGGCGAGGCCGAAAGGCGUAGUCGAUGGGAAACAGGUUAAUAUUCCUGUACUUGGUGUUACUGCGAAGGGGGGACGGAGAAGGCUAUGUUGGCCGGGCGACGGUUGUCCCGGUUUAAGCGUGUAGGCUGGUUUUCCAGGCAAAUCCGGAAAAUCAAGGCUGAGGCGUGAUGACGAGGCACUACGGUGCUGAAGCAACAAAUGCCCUGCUUCCAGGAAAAGCCUCUAAGCAUCAGGUAACAUCAAAUCGUACCCCAAACCGACACAGGUGGUCAGGUAGAGAAUACCAAGGCGCUUGAGAGAACUCGGGUGAAGGAACUAGGCAAAAUGGUGCCGUAACUUCGGGAGAAGGCACGCUGAUAUGUAGGUGAAGCGACUUGCUCGUGGAGCUGAAAUCAGUCGAAGAUACCAGCUGGCUGCAACUGUUUAUUAAAAACACAGCACUGUGCAAACACGAAAGUGGACGUAUACGGUGUGACGCCUGCCCGGUGCCGGAAGGUUAAUUGAUGGGGUCAGCGCAAGCGAAGCUCUUGAUCGAAGCCCCGGUAAACGGCGGCCGUAACUAUAACGGUCCUAAGGUAGCGAAAUUCCUUGUCGGGUAAGUUCCGACCUGCACGAAUGGCGUAAUGAUGGCCAGGCUGUCUCCACCCGAGACUCAGUGAAAUUGAACUCGCUGUGAAGAUGCAGUGUACCCGCGGCAAGACGGAAAGACCCCGUGAACCUUUACUAUAGCUUGACACUGAACAUUGAGCCUUGAUGUGUAGGAUAGGUGGGAGGCUUUGAAGUGUGGACGCCAGUCUGCAUGGAGCCGACCUUGAAAUACCACCCUUUAAUGUUUGAUGUUCUAACGUGGACCCGUGAUCCGGGUUGCGGACAGUGUCUGGUGGGUAGUUUGACUGGGGCGGUCUCCUCCUAAAGAGUAACGGAGGAGCACGAAGGUUGGCUAAUCCUGGUCGGACAUCAGGAGGUUAGUGCAAUGGCAUAAGCCAGCUUGACUGCGAGCGUGACGGCGCGAGCAGGUGCGAAAGCAGGUCAUAGUGAUCCGGUGGUUCUGAAUGGAAGGGCCAUCGCUCAACGGAUAAAAGGUACUCCGGGGAUAACAGGCUGAUACCGCCCAAGAGUUCAUAUCGACGGCGGUGUUUGGCACCUCGAUGUCGGCUCAUCACAUCCUGGGGCUGAAGUAGGUCCCAAGGGUAUGGCUGUUCGCCAUUUAAAGUGGUACGCGAGCUGGGUUUAGAACGUCGUGAGACAGUUCGGUCCCUAUCUGCCGUGGGCGCUGGAGAACUGAGGGGGGCUGCUCCUAGUACGAGAGGACCGGAGUGGACGCAUCACUGGUGUUCGGGUUGUCAUGCCAAUGGCACUGCCCGGUAGCUAAAUGCGGAAGAGAUAAGUGCUGAAAGCAUCUAAGCACGAAACUUGCCCCGAGAUGAGUUCUCCCUGACUCCUUGAGAGUCCUGAAGGAACGUUGAAGACGACGACGUUGAUAGGCCGGGUGUGUAAGCGCAGCGAUGCGUUGAGCUAACCGGUACUAAUGAACCGUGAGGCUUAACCUU
rnacentral:rRNA from 1 species